AUGGACGAGUUGGUUGAACAGUCUUCCCACUUUCGUCUGGUUUUUUUUCAACCGGUUUUUUUUCGCUGGUUUUUUUUUCGUCUCCCCCAUCCCACCCCACACACGCAGCCAGAAAACACCCCGCAAAAAACCUCUCCUGUCGAUCCCUCGAGGACACAGAGCCGCCGUCCUCUCGUGCGAUCUCGCUGCCGCCGCCCUCCGAUCUGCUCCUCCUCGUCUCCCGAGGAUACGCAGCCGCAUCCGCCGACGCCGAUCCGGGCAGAUGCGGCCGUCGUGGAUCACGAGGACACCGUCACCACCGGCGCCUCGGAUACGUCGCCCGUCAUGGAUCAGGAUCCCCAGGAUGCCGACGCCGCCGCGGAUCCACUGCCACGCGCAGCUCGGGCCCGAGCCGCGACGGGCUCGGCUAUCGCCGCUGCCGCGUGCGCCCUUCGUCUCCAGGCUCGAAGAGCCCCGCCGCCAGCCACCCCCAACCCACAUCGGCGUCAAGCUAUCUCCUUGGUGUUGUUGUCCUCGAUAGGCUAA
rnacentral:rRNA from 1 species